GGAGAGGUGCCGGAGUGGUCGAACGGGCUCGCCUGGAAAGUGAGUGUGCGGUGUUGAGCCGCACCGAGGGUUCGAAUCCCUCCCUCUCCGCCA
rnacentral:tRNA from 1 species